rnacentral:misc_RNA from 1 species
GUUCCGUAGGUGAACCUGCGGAAGGAUCAUUAACACUAAACUUAGUAUCCAAACCUUCUUUGGAGCAACCAACCUUCUAAGCGAACCUAUUGGCACUUUUCCUUGCCACUUAUCAUUUAUUUUAACCACUCUGAUUAUCUUUGUGUCUGAUUAACUUUUUUUUCCUUCGCAUCCGAAAGUAUGGGUGAGGAAAACAAACAAAUCUAAACGCAAUACAACUCUUAACAACGGAUAUCUUGGCUCUC